rnacentral:lncRNA from 12 species
GCAAGAGGGAAGCAUCUGGUUCUUAUGAUGAUGUAAUUGGGCAGAUCCAGAUUACCAAGGGCUCUGUAUAACUUCUUUACAUUAACAAAAAAAUGUUUUCUUAUGGAAGCAGAGUUGUUUGAAUAUUGGAAACGAGCUGCUAGUCCCUGAUAACCCACCACCUCUCAGAGUCUCAACAAAAUAGUAAAAACAACUUUGUCUGGAUGAUUGCCUUGGCUGUGCUCAG